AUGUGGGUCCACUCACCUGCUCGGGCCGGUCAGUCAGAGGGCAAGCGGGCGGCCCUCCGCUCAGCUCUGCGGCACUACGGCCUCAGAGGCAUGGCCGGGGCUCCGCCACCCGGGACCCCAGGGCACGGGGGCAGGGGCAGUGAUGCGGCGGGCUGGGCAUGGCUCUGCUCCCAGGAGGAGGAGCGCUGGGAGCCACGGGGACGGAGCCCGGCCGGGCGGGCAGGGAGAGGCUGCGGGGGCCGGCUGAGCCCAGGCACGGGGGUCCUGGCAGCCUCUUGGAGCCUGGCUCCAUGCUGGGGCAGAAGGCAGGCCCAGGGUGAAGGUACCCUCAGGCCACAGUUCAGUCCCUACACAGAAGGGAGGCCCACACCCGCGAGAAGAGCGGACACAGAACUGACCACACUGCCGAGAGGGUGGAGGCGGAGAGCGGGACGAGGCAGCCCCGAAGACCCACAGGGCCUCUCCCCAGGGGACACUCAUGCCGAGCGGGUGGAGGCGGAGAGCAGGACGAGGCAGCCCCAAGGACCCACAGGGCCUCUCCCCAGGGGACACGCAAGCAGGGCCCGCAGAGAAGGGUGCUCGGAGCCUUUGGGCAGACCCGGCCAACGGGGCCGAGGCCACCAGGACGAAUCAGCCAGGCGGUCACCCACUCCACAGGAGAGGCCACCCAGAGAGCGAGGGCAGACCAAGAAAAGGGCUGGGGACGCAACCCUGGGGAGUUCGCGCCAGAGGGAAGACACCAGGCUGAGAAGGCAGGGCGGGGCGUCCAAACAAGGGGCCGCGGCAGGGAGGUCCCAGCAGAGCAGAACACGUGCAGACACGCACGCAGGCGCACACACGCACGCACGUGCACACACGCACCCCCACACCGUGCAGACACGCGCACGAACAUGCCAUGCACAUGGAUGCAGACACACAUGCGUGCGCACACCACUCGGGGCGGCUUGCGGGUUGCAGACAGACAGGAAACAGCAGACACCACACGUUUUAAGAGGUUACGGUGGAGGGACAGGACAUCAAAGACAGAGACUUGUUUAG
rnacentral:lncRNA from 1 species